GAGCGAGGAAAUCUUGAGAGAAGAGGAAGGGAAGAGGGACGCUCUUCCCAAUAAAGCAAACAGCCCGGCAGGAGGCAGGGAGACGAGAGAGGAGGUCCAAUGACAUGUUUUGCAGCAGUGGACUGGGAAGACAGGAGGAGAAAGUGUUGAAACAGGAGAUCAGACAAGAGGGAGACUGGGUUUGAAUCACUUCUGUCCUUAUCUUUUUUAUUGAUAUAUUUUUCAUGUUUAAUGGCAUUUGCUUUUUUUUUUCUCACUUUGUCGUUAGCUGCCUUGAAUGCCUUUUUUCUUUCCUUUCUUUCUGGCAGAAAGCUGACAUACCCAAUGAACAAACAAGGCAUCCCUACUGAACCAUCUAGAGCUACAGAGCCUUUUUCUUCCCCUUCUUCCGACUAAAAGGCAGCGAGGCUACCACUCCCAGAAAGCACUGCGGCUGGAAACCCUGCAAAUCCAAGGAUUUAGGAACUUAAUCCAGCCCGAGAUGUCCAGGUGGAGUUCCCCAACCAUGGCGUCUCAGAUUCCAGGUGUAUGGAUCCAACGGUGGAGGCCAGUUCAUUAGGACAAAGCAGCAUCCUUGAAGGUCAUGGGAGUUCUCAUCCAAGUCCUCUGGGGGUUCUAGGUUGGAGAAGAGCGGGC